UGAGAGCUGGUGAACCUGUGACACAAAUGAAUUUGGAUCAUUAGAAGGAAUUAAAAAUUCCGCUUUCAAA
rnacentral:tRNA from 1 species